UCUACUCCGUCUCUUUGGCCGUUUCAGUUUAGCGAUCAUGGAUCCACCUCCCGCCGCCGCCGCCUGGUCUCCCCAGGUGCCUCUGCUUCCACCAGCUCCCGAGCCGGUGCGCGAUGGUCGUCUCCGGCUAUGGUAAGUUCUCGUUCCACCACGCCUGAAUACGUUGCCUUCUCUGCAUUGUCGACAGGAGAUUGGGGGCAACAAAGCAAACCACAUUUCAGCAUGUUCACGUGCACACACAUGACACGAGGCCUCCUUUGGUCGUCCUCAAGGUUACACUUUGCUCAUCUGAUCGGUGGCGCGCGUGUGUUUCUUUGUUGCAGCCUGUGGUUCCUCAGCUGCUGCGGCCUGCUCACGUGUUGCUGCCCUCCGAUGUCUGAGCCAGUGCCGCCGCCCUUGUAGCUGUACAAGUUGAGCGGCAUAUAUCAUCUUCUUUCGUCUCGUGUGUGUUUUCGUUUCACCGUUGUGCACCUUUUUCUUAUCCCACCGUUGUGCACUUUUGUUCUACCUGUGAUGUUCGACAAGCUUCAGCAAAGUGGCCUCUGAAGGGUUUGCUCCAUGCCUAAUAAACCCACUAUCAAAAUGCAUGGUCAUCUUCAA
rnacentral:lncRNA from 1 species